rnacentral:lncRNA from 1 species
UCAGGAACUCAUGGUGAGAAAAAUUCUAAGGAGAAAGAAGGCAAUACAAAGCUUACCUCGAUCAUGGUCGGGUAGAACUUGGACAGCAUCUCGGUCACUUGCCGAGACCUCAGCGACUCCACGUCGGCCGGGAGGAGGAUCCCCUGGCACAACCUCCUCACCAGGUUGUGGUCGGCCAACGCCGACGCCCCUUCGGGGAACUGUGCGCUGGGCGGCACAGAGCGGCUCCCCGACCUCGUUUCGUCCGCGGGGUCCAUCGGGGCUUUCCCUCGAUCGGCUGCCCCGACCGACGGAACCGGCAGCGAGGGGAUGCUCGAAGUAGAACCAGCACCCCCCGUUGCGGCCACAGACGCCGCCGGAUGAUGUUCGGUUUCCCGAACGUCAUCCGGCUCCACCGCUGCCGG